UCUAUGGCCAUACCACCCUGAACGUGCCCGAUCUCGUCUGAUCUCGAAAGCCAAGCAGGGUCAGGCCUGGUUAGUGCUUGGAUGGGAGAUUUCAUAAAAUCCAAUCUCCUUUGAAAAGUUUGAAACUAUUAGAA
ensembl:rRNA 5S_rRNA 5S ribosomal RNA